rnacentral:antisense_RNA from 1 species
GAUAGCCGAAAAUGGUAAACGGAUCGAUAGUUGGGUUAGCGACAAGACGAACUUCUCCCACAGCAGGAUCGUAAAUUCCCCCAAAGAACAUCGCUUUGGCGACAAACAAAAGCGCCGCUAUACCGAGAAAAAUGAGAUGAUGCCCUAAAAUUAAGCUUAAUUGCUUGGGAUCGCUCCA